rnacentral:lncRNA from 1 species
AUUAAUUUGUAUACAUAUUAGUGUUUUAUUUUUACUAGUUUUCCUUUUAGAUGGAACUGAAUGCACAGAAUCCAUUUUGAUGUUAGAAAAGCAAGUCUCCAGUGAAACUCUGUUUGUUUCUGUUGACUGGACAAGAAGCAAUGAAGCCUGUGCAAUAGAGAAAAAAAUGGAGAUUGGCAUAUAAACACAUAUCAGCAUUUAUCAAGGCCGGUGGAGAAGAGAUAUCUUCUGAUCUAUGAAGCCUAGCCCUGUAUUUGUGAACGUAAAGAUUCCUGUCUUAUCUAAGAGCAAUAUUACCAAAAUGCACAGAUGACAGAAAAAUCAUUUGAAAU